CGCGGGCGGGAGGUGGCGGCGGCGGUGGUCUGAGUUGAUGCUGCUGAAUAAUUCACCGGCAGCAAUGGUACUUCUCUGGGUCUGCGGUGCCGCGCUCAGUUUGGAGGGAAGCUCCCAUUGGGAUCUCCAGAUCUGCACCAGGUUGUUUUUCAGUGCUUUGGCCCACUGCAUGCCAGGAGGCUGGCUCUGAAACCCCAAACCAGCAUGAAAGCGAGUGAGAAUGCGGCAGCAAAAUCUGCCUGCGGAUGAAAAACUCGUUCAGCAGCCUUUAAGACUAAACAUCAACUGGGUAUUUCAAAAGCGAGGGAGGGCAGCAAGCAUUUCAUCUCAAGACGCCUUCCCAGGAGGGGGAUUUGCAGUAUUUUCAAUGGCAUCAAAGCCACGCGGCUCUGCAACAGCACAGUCCAUGCACGAGGCGCAAACAUCCACACCUCCCUCUGCUAAUGAAGCUUUUUGAAGUUUGUGGCCUUCCUGUGGCAUUUCGUACUUCACUUACCCAAACUUCUGCCUGCGGGCAUCCCCCCUCCCAAAAUUACUGCAGGAUUAUUAAAAGAAAUAGUUUACGAAGGUUCUCGCUAAUAAUACGCUCCCAGCCGCAGAGGAAGAGAUGCUACCUUGGCGUUUGGAGCCUCACUAACAACCAGCCCUGAGGAGCCAUGCCAUAUGAAACCUGUGAUCUUCAACUAUGAAACUUACGGAAUUGUGAGUGAGUGGUGAGCGACAGCCCCGCAGCAGCCGGGAGGAGGAGGAGGAGGAGAAGGGAGAGCCAGCAGCCCCCUGCUUGCCACUGCACAGUGCAAACCACCCCAGGAGUUUUUCUGCCCGGUAUCCUGUUACCACUUGAAUCAAAACCUGGAUGCCGAGCCAGCUUAUUUUUAGCGCAUUUUGGACUUAAAGUGAAGCGAAUGCUGGUGAAAUAUGCGGUACUGACAGCCCUGGAAAAUCUUUAUUCAUCUGCAGCACAGGCAGCAGGGAAGGCUGCGAGGAAGCAAAGCAAUCCCGAGCUGCAAACCGAGUCCCCCGGUUUCUCCGGCUGAGCUUGCCCAGUGCUGUGCAGUUCCUGGCGGUCGUUGGGAGAGGGUUUUUUCCACGCUCUGAGCAGACUGAGCACAGUGGGGAGGAGCGCAGUGUGCAGGGGAGCGGCAUGCUGCAGAUUUGGACCGCCUGCGAGCCUCCAGCUGAGAUCUCUGCAUCCCAAUCAGGGCGGCUGCCGGACUUCAACUGCAGCGGCGGUGGUGCCGUAAAAAUGGGAGAGACUCGGAAAACCUGAGUAUCUGAACCCUGCUCUGCUAGUCCAGGGCCAUGCUGCGUUUGCUGCGCUAGUGCAAUGCCGGAUCCAUGCAAAGUGGGGGGCCCAAUGGCACCAAUGCUGCCGGUGCUGCCUCCAGCAGCAGCUCAGACGCUCUGCUUUAAGGAAAAAACCCAAAGAGGGCACUUAUGAAGUAAAUACCAUGCAGAAAAGUCCUAUUUCUGACCCCUUUGCUUGGGACCUUGCUGAAAUCUUCCAGCACGACUCGGUGCCUGCCGGACCUGAGCUGGCCGGGUGGAUCUGUGCUGCCUGUGGCUGGCGGCUUUGUGAGGAUGAGGCCGCAGAGGGGAAGCAAGAGCUCUCCUAGCAGCAAAACUGGGUCCCUUUGGCGUUCAGGGCACAGCCUGCCAGAGAGCCAGGAGGUGCCUGGACGUGUGCCUUGGACAGUAGCUGGAGUUGCUGGGAGAGGCCAGGGUGACCACAAGAGAUGUCCCCCGCAUCCCUCUGCCAGGAGGAUGCGCACACGGUGUUCACAUGCUUGUCGUCAGUAAGCUUGAAAUCCAAUCACAGGCAGCUCGGGGAUUUGACAAUUGUUUGUGUCUGCCUCGAGACAAAUAUCUCAUUCCCCCUGUCACAAACUUGCUCCUCUACUGCGCGUGUGUUUCGAGUUUCCUCAUGCAAAACCUGCGUGGGUGUUUGGAUAUGUAAUGAGCACAUAGUUCAGGAUGAAAACAAGUUGCGUGGAAGAGCCAAGUAACGCCAAAAAAAUGAAAGCAAUACAAACAACAACAUGGCACGCGGCCAUACCAGCUAGAUCGUGGGCCAGCCGGAUCUCACGUACUCCCCGGAGCUGCAGAGCCGAUCAGCUGUUGGAAAAAGAGACCUUUAAAGACAAGCGAGAGGAAAUAGCAUUGGCAGCGCGGGCCACAGCAUGUUUCCUUCCAAAGCAGGACAGAGCCAAGGACAUUAGGCAGAGCUGUAACAUUUGGGGUCUCGUUGCUCAGCCGUGAAGUAAGGCAAAAACCUCAAGUAGGCUGCAGUUGUGUAAACUUCUAUUGUUUUCUGAGCGGAAGCGGGGCGCUGGCCUGACGGGGUAUUGUCGUACCAGAUUUUGGCGAUGCUCACCUAACCGAGCUCCUUCUGCAAAGCCAGGGCCUCAUUUUACUUUGGUGCAUCGUGCAAAGGGAAUAAACCCGCCUGUCUGCGCUGGAUCCGGGCUGGAGAGCAUCUUCCCAAGCCGAACGCGUGCUGCCUCCCCCAGUGUCUUCAAAGAAAAUUACCUCUAACCUCUGGGCAAGGCUGGAGAGGGACUAGAGGCAAUUCUAAAAAAACUCCCCAGACUGGCCUCACUCAUGAUCAUCUCUCAUUGUGAUGACGUGAUGGGGGAAAAUAGUGGCAAAGCUGAUUGAGACCAGUUUUCUGUGGGGCCUCAAUGCAUUUCCACACCGAAAAAGGGUGAAAGCAAGCCUCAAAGGCAGGUUAUUUUUUUUUUCCCCCCCAUUUAGGGCGAGGGAUCAUCUGGGCCUCCUUAAACGUAUUAAAACAAUACCUCCUUCAAUGUAAUAAAAUACCUCUUCUGAUCUAGGCCCUGAUCCAAGCAUCUGCUCGUAGGCCACGCACUUAAAUACCUGCUUGAGUCCUCUUCACCACCUCUUGCAGCAUCCGUCCUUUGGUUAAAGGCUUAAAUCAGUGAAAGAGCUCACUGGCAAUCCGGAAGAUUGAAAGGGGCCUGAAAUACCAGCGCCUCCAUACGCACAUUGGCAUAAUUCUUUGCAUAAAAGCCAGCUUUAAAAGGCUUGUCUUACAAAACACAAGCGUGCAUUUUUUUUCCGAAUCAAGGUCAGUAACUCAGCUUCAUUCACCAGUCUCCAGCUGCAAAACAACAUGCCCCAGACAAUGGAGGAGAGUGUAUCUGAGUCAGAAGAUGCCUUUUAAGGGAUGCAAGUGGCUCCCAGCCACGCUGAGGAAAGAAGAUCUCCUUGGUACCCUUGUGUGCUCGGCCCCGUCUGAACUGAAACGGGGCACCCGAGGGCAGGAAAAGCUGGUGAGAUGGGAACGGCAGCACAAAUUGUACUUGCGCCCUCCACGCUUUGGUAAAAUGCGCUUUUUCCGAUGUCACCCCCAUGCCACCUUCUCCGUGCCUCUGUGCUCGGCUCCGCUCCAUGAUUCAGUGAGGGCUUUAUGUAGGAAGCAGACGAGAUGCUCGCAGCUGCUCCGAGGGCUAAAAAUAUUUGCUCGUCUCUUCCUCCCAGGCAGGUGCGCUCAUCCUGGGCAGGGCUGCUCUGUGGGGAUGCGCUUGCACGCCAGCCGCACGCUGCUCGUGGCACACCGCGGUUCGGCGCUUCUCCUUUUCUACGUGGAGCGCUUGGGUGUUGUGAUUGUUUCUCUGAACCACCCAAAGAGGAUGCUCUGUCCUGUGUUUCAGAUGCAAAAUGUGCCUUGGAAUUCAAUAGUUGCUAUAGUGCCAUAAUUACACAUUUUGUGGAGUACUUAGUUACAAUGGCUGGAGCUCUUGUUAUUAGGUUUGGACUCCUUCUGUUGCUGUCUUUUAAGGACCUUUCUGCCAAACACUUUCUCCCUUCAUUAAGAAUAGCUUGUUUCAGCAUUUUCUCCCCACAAAGAUAGCCCCAGUUCAGGGUUGCAAUGGAGCACUCGUCACCAAAUUGAUAGUAGGAAGGCGUGGGCUUGCACCCUGCUUUCUGCACACUGUGCUCCGGCGUGAACAUCAAAGUCUGCUUGAGUGACACCAGUAGAAUAUCUCCCAGGAUCUGUGAGCUCUUGAGCACGGAUCCUGGCAGUGUUGCUCUCUGCAGUUUGGAGACAACUUGCACUGUCUGCUCGGGGCAUCUGCACCUUCCCAGGUGCUUCCCUUCCCCUUGGCAGUACGGAGAAGGUGGACUCCUUGGGUGCUCUUCCUAGAGGAUGACUUAACCCACCUCAAUGGGACAUGCCUUGGGCAAGGAUGAAUCACUCUCCCAAGGUGCUGGUCUUUUAUGCCCACUGUAGAUGAAGCUCAGCUUCAGUGCAGACAGGCGAGAUGGGUAAGACAAGCCCCAUGCUCAACGUUGCUCCGCCAAACGGCAGGGAUGUUCUCCACCCUACACAGUAGGAUUGGCAUUUCCCCUGUUAACCUCUUUUUCUGCCAGGGUUACCCCAUCUGGAGAAUGGAGCUAAACACUUAACUGCCUACUUUCUAAGGAGUCAGGCAGGAUAAUUAGCUAAUGUUUGGGUAAUGCGUCAUAGGGUAGGAGUGCUAAGUAGUAUUGCUGUCAGCAGCACGGUGGGAAGCGAAGGGCUCAAUCUUGUUUUUUCAAUCAGGAAUGUCACGGUCUCCCCCAGGUUCAUUGGUCUCCCCUAAGUUUAUUGUUCCCAUUGACUAGUCUGCCGAGGGCAGGGGCCGUACGCAAAGUGUUUAAAGGAAGAGGAUGCCAGGGACAGCAGAGGGCUGUUUUCAAUCCAGGAGAAGAACUGUGAGAAUAACUGGGUGGAUUUCAGAAAGACAAAGCUGCCAAUGAAGCCAAAAGCAGGGAAUAUGCCUGGGGCUGCACAGAGAGGGCUUAUGUCUGUAACUGUGGUGUAAAUACUCAACAGCAAUAUCCUCUGAGUCACUAAAGCGCAUCAGGGAAACUUUUCUUGCAUUGCAUUUACUGCAUGCAUGCAGCACAGCGGGAAGCAUGAUGCAGACACCCAUCUAACUCACCCUGGGGACUGAAGUAGACUCAACCUAAAAGAGAUUUCACAUCUUUAAUUCUUAUUAUUCUGCAAAUUACGUUAUGGAUGAACUUCAGGCCCUUCUCAUGUCCGCUGAUCAUAAUUGAUGAGAUUUCAAUCGUGCCUCCUUGAAGUUAAACAUCUGAGAGACACUUUGGUUAAUAGUUUGCCUUUCAGAGCGGUGCAUUAGCUCUCUUGUGCUCCUGUCCGCUUAAUUUAGAGCGAGUGGCCAAGAGUGGUGCAAUUAAGGAAGGAAUCUUGGGCUGAAGCUCUCGACGCUUUCGAAUGGCCAGCAGACCCGUCAGCACCGGCUUGUUUUUACAGUAGCUGGAACAACGAUUUCCGUGACUCGCUACUAAUUAUGCUCUGGUUUCGCAAACAAAUGUUUUUAACCUCUUCUUGUUGCAUAUGAAAAUUAUUAAACAUCAGUG